UUUGAAUCUGCCAUAUGAUCAUCAGUUGAUUGAAAUAUUAUUUCUUCACAUAUAUCACCCAUCACCACCUGCUGCAGUUAAUCUGGUGCAUUUAAUGCUCCUAUUUGCCUUUUAUAUUAUCAGCUUCAGUAUUGUCUUUAUAACAUUUUAGAACUUUUUUUUUAAAGCUCAGACAUAGCACACGUAGUAAAGUGGAAACUGCUUAAACUUUUUUAAAAGUUAUUUUUCUGUGGCUAAUACCAAGAAGUUCAUAUUGCACGUGAUCGUGUUUAGCUGGCCCUAUUAACAUCUGAAGAACAAUGGAAGUGCAUAUGAACAUAUCUGUGAUCUUCCUGUAUAGGACUGCCAUCAUCUGUAUUUGCUUCAGAAGAGUAUAACCAAGGAGCUGCAUGUCCACCACAUGAUCUGACCAACUGUAAUAAGCUGCAUUUCCAAAGGGCUGCUUUGGUGAGACACAAAGACAGGAACAUGCCUUCCAUCCUGUCCCAACUGUAUCUUCAAACAUUGGCUCUCAGUAUUGAUCAUACAGGGUCUGCUCUCUCUCUUCACCGUGCUUGUUUUCAUUAGUCUUCAGCAUUUCCCUGGAGGCAUCUUGGCAAUAAUACACUGUUGAUUUUCCCUAAGAGAUUUAUUUUAAAGUAAAACCACAUUUCUAGGAACUUUUUAUUGACAGAACUCGAAAACAUAUAUGACAUUCUCAGCCUUCGGAAUCUGUAAGUAGGUGACACUUGGUUACCUGGCCCUCGGCAUCUCUACUUGCUUUCUUCUUUAGUUAGGCCACCAUGGAGCACUCAGAGCUCAGACAGCCCAUCUUCUAACAAAAACACUUGCAGGCGGUUUUCAAAGGAGCUUUCUUCAGCUGUCCCAGCUCUCCCACUGCAAGCCUGGAAGUCAGAAUCAAGCUAGCCGAACCUGGUCUCAUUGUCCACAUUUUAUGUUCAGGACCAAGUGACGACAGCUUUGAUAAAACUCAGUAGGAACCCUCCCCACAAUGGACCAAUAUUUAGGCUUUUCGGUGUGAACAUACCACUCUCUCCUUCAAUCUUCCCUUGUCAAUCAUUAUCUUCAAGUCUCAUCACGUUCUGCUGUGCCUAUCCAGUGUGUCUCUUGCCCCCAACGCAUCCAAACUCUUCUCAGCAUCCUCCACUUGUAAAGCUUGACAUUCAUUAAGGAACUUUCCAUUCCUAGUCUCCUUUGAUGAUGCUAAACCAGAGUCUACUAGGAAACUACUUAUGUAGCAUCUAUUCUCAAUGAAAGACGUGGCAGAGGGAAAGCGUGAGUGUGAGCUUCGUGGUAGUGAGGCUGGCCCUUUGGUGAUCGCAGGCACGAGGUAGAUGGUCCCAACUCCAUUGUUCUUGCUUUCUCUUUCUUACCAAAAAUUUUCUCAUUUCUUAUUUCCUUUUAAAGACAACUACGUGCUACCCAAUCAUCUCUUCACUUCCCCACCCCUGAAAAUCUUACAUUAUGACCCCUAACUGUUCGUGAAUUUCUCCUACCACUCUUCUUAGCAUCUUUCUUUAAACGAGUUCAUAAACUUGAGACUUGUAGGCAGAAUGAAGCAUGUCUUCCUUUCCGCUGCAGAUUUUAAAGGUUGUCAGCAUCUGAGAGUAGGAGGACCUGAGUCAGAGUUUUAAAUGUCAACUGUACUAGUUGAGAUCAUUAAUUCCUCUCACCUUUACAUUAAACCAAAGAUAAGUAUUUUUCUUUUCUUUCCUUUUUUAAUACCACAGUUUUCAAAUUCUUGGUAUGAGUAGACGAUUUCUGAGGGAGGGAAAAAAAAACUCCCUUGUUGAUUAUUUCUGCUUGUGCUAAUAUUUAGCUAAUGGCAUGUUUGCCAGAUACUAGAUUUACAGGAAUCUGAAUCAAGAGAUACCAUUUCAAAAUAACCUUGGUAGCUAUUCAAGCCAAAAGCUACUUCCACUCAAACACACUGUAAGAAAAGUUUGGGAGAAUUUUUUCAUGUAUUACACUUUGAAAAGCCAAAUAUUUGUUGGUCUGAAGCAUUGAGGGAUAAUUUAUUAAAGAAUAAAAGGAUUUAUGAAGUUUAUCAGAUGCUUGUUUUACAACAAAAAUUGAUAUAAACCUAAUAAGUGUUAAAAAACAAAACCAAGACUAAAUGGGUACUAUAUUAAAUUUUAAGUACAGUACUCAGUUUAUAAAUACAUACUAUAUUAUUUGGCCAUAAUUCUAGAGUUUAUUCCAAUUUUUGCUGUCUGGUCUCCAGAACACUGGUGAAGAAGACUGAAGUCACUCACUGUAGGUGUCUGCCUCUGGGGAUCCUUGCAGUGUCCUUUCACAGUGACCCUUUAGCACAAUGCCUGACUCUCUGUGCUGCCCCCUUACCUCUCUGCUCAUAUGAAGAUGGAGAGUCUAAGACACAAUUUGGAGUACACAGGCACUCACUUCUUGCUCUACCUUGACACUCAAAAUCCACACUUCAUAUGAAAAAAAUGUAUUGUUGCUUGACUUAAGGCUUGAUCCAGACUUUGACUUAAACCACUUUAUAGCUUCAGUUCCCACAUAGAGCAAUGAGAUAAAUGUCAAGUUCAAAAGCCUCGCUGAGGUAGGCAUCUAUCAGGCAUCUAUCUAUCUAUCUUAGGCCAAUGUUUGAAUCACUUUUCCUUCCUAUAUCCUCCCACCGAGUUUUACCCUCACUUCUUUCUUCUUCCAUUUGGGCUCCUGCCAUCUCUUUUGAAAGCAUUCUAUAUCUAAAGCUCUCUUGCCCUCUGGCAUUGCCUUCUGAAGUGUAGAAGACUCUUCUGAAUCACC
rnacentral:lncRNA from 1 species